UAAUUUACUGUAAAGGAUAAAAAUAAAAACUAAUUUUUAUCUACCUUUUGCAUAAUGGUUCAACAAUAAUAUAACUUAUAAGUAGUUUUCUCGAAUUUAGAAGAUCUAAUUAAAUUUAUCUUUUAGAAUAAAUUAUUAUAUAAUGUUUCAAAAUUAUAUUUAAAAGUUUAAUUAGGGGUGAAAGGCUUWYCAAUUCUAAAGAUAUCUAGAAUAAUUUAAAAUGUAUUUAGUACAGAAUAAUAUUUGAUUAAAAAAAUCUUAAGAUUUUUUUAAGUUAUAGAAUAAUUUAUUUUAAUGAAAGUUUUGGAAUAAUUAUCCUAAUGAAUUAUUUUUAUUAUAAUUUUUUAUUUAUUUAUCUAUCAUAAUAUAAAAUUAUACUUUAAAAAUUUUCUUAAAAGGCAAUUAUGUUGAAAUUAGUAUAAUUAUUAUAUUUUAUUAAGGAACUCGGCAAAUUUAAAUUUAUUCAUCUGUUUACCAAAAACAUAGUCUUAUGAACAUUAUUAUGUAAGAUAAAACCUGCCCACUGAUUUCUUUUUACUUUUAAAGGGCCGCAGUACUUUGACUGUGCUAAGGUAGCAUAAUAAAUUGACUCUUAAUUGGGGCCUGGAAUGAAAGGAUUUAAUGGGUAAUAUCUGUCUCAUUGUUAAAUUAUUAAAAUUUACUUAAAAGGUGAAAAUUCCUUUAAUUUAUUAUAAAAGACGAGAAGACCCUAGGAGUUUUUUCUUUUGUUGGGGCGACAGUAUAACAUUAAAACUUAUAUAAUAAUUAAAAUUUUAAUAUAACGAAUAAUUUUAAUAAUAAAUAAGCUACCCUAGGGAUAACAGCAUAAUUUCUUUUGAAGUUUGUGACCUCGAU
rnacentral:rRNA from 1 species